rnacentral:rRNA from 1 species
UACAGAGGUCCCAAGCGUUGUUCGGAUUCACUGGGCGUAAAGGGUGCGUAGGUGGUGAGGUAAGUCGGAUGUGAAAUCUCCGAGCUCAACUCGGAAAUGGCAUUGGAAACUACCUUGCUAGAGGGUUGGAGGGGGGACUGGAAUACUUGGUGUAGCAGUGAAAUGCGUAGAUAUCAAGUGGAACACCAGUGGCGAAAGGCGAGUCCCUGGACAACUCCUGACACUGAGGCACGAAAGCUAGGGGAGCAAACAGG